rnacentral:rRNA from 1 species
CCUCGGGGAGUACGACCGCAAGGUUGAAACUCAAAAGGAAUUGACGGGGACCCGCACAAGCGGUGGAGCAUGUGGUUUAAUUCGAAGCAACGCGAAGAACCUUACCAAAUCUUGCAAUCCUCUGACCCCUCUAAAGAUAGAGUUUUCCCCUUCGGGGGACAAAAUGACAGGUGGUGCAUGGUUGUCGUCAGCUCGUGUCGUGAAAUGUUGGGUUAAGUCCCGCAACGAGCGCAACCCUUAAAGCUUAUUUGCCAUCAUUAAAUUGGGCACUCUAAGUUGACUGCCGGUGACAAACCGGGAGGAAGGUGGGGAUGACGUCAAAUCAUCAUGCCCCUUAUGAUUUUGGGCUACACACGUGCUACAAAUGGACAAUACAAAAAGGGGUAAGCGGAAACCGCGAAGGGUCAAGCAAAAUUCCCAUAAAAGGUUGUUCUCAUGUUCGAGGAAUUUGUAGUCUGCAACUCCGACUUAUAUGAAACCUGGAAUCGCUAUUAAAUCCGUUAGAAU